rnacentral:tRNA from 1 species
GGGUGUGGCGCAGCUUGGUAGCGCGCGUCGUUCGGGACGACGAGGUCGCAGGUUCAAGAUGGGGGCCUUCGCCGUACCCG